AGUGAACGCUGGCGGCAGGCCUAACACAUGCAAGUCGAACGGCAGCACAGUAAGAUCUUGCUCUUACCGGUGGCGGGUGGCGGACGGGUAAGGAAUGCAUCGGAAUCUUCUUUUUCGUGGGGGAUAACGUAGGGAAACUUACGCUAAUACCGCAUAUGAUCUACGGGUGAAAGCAGUGGAUCUUCGCACCUUGCGCGAUUGAAUUAGCCGAUGUCGGAUUAGCUAGUUGGGGGGGUAAAGGCCCACCAAGGCGACGAUACGUAGCCGGUCUGAGAGGAUGAUCGGCCACACUGGAACUGAGACACGGUCCAGACUCCUACGGGAGGCAGCAGUGGGGAAUAUUGGACAAUGGGCGCAAGCCUGAUCCAGCCAUACCGCGUGGGUGAAGAAGGCCUUCGGGUUGUAAAGCCCUUUUGUUGGGAAAGAAAAGCAGCAGGUUAAUACCCCGCUGUUCUGACGGUACCCAAAGAAUAAGCACCGGCUAACUUCGUG
rnacentral:rRNA from 1 species